GGCAGGCAAAAGCGGAGCUGUUUCCGACAUCUUAAGCAACCUGGUAUUGUGAUAUACAGACUAUACGACGCUUGUUAGCAGAGCGGAUUAUAUACUCAACGAGUCUAAACACGUUUCCAGGAAUCAGAACUAUAAAUGCAAUCAAGAACCUCUUAGAAAAGGGAAAACUUGCACGGGAAAGCCAAACGUAUGUGUACUUUACAGUAAGACUGAAAGAACAGCUU